rnacentral:rRNA from 1 species
ACGGGGGGUGCAAGCGUUAAUCGGAAUUACUGGGCGUAAAGCGCACGCAGGCGGUUUUUUAAGUUAGAUGUGAAAUCCCAGGGCUUAACCUGGGAACUGCAUCUGAAACUGGCAGAAUUGAGGCUCGAAGAGGGGGGUAGAAUUCCAGGUGUAAGGGUGAAAUGUGUAGAUAUCUGGAGGAAUACCAGUGGCGAAGGCGGCCCCUUGGACGAGAUCUGACGCUAAGGUGUGAAAGCUUGGGGAGCAAACAG